rfam:Cricetulus griseus cell line CHO-K1, whole genome shotgun sequence.
GGGGAUGUAGCUCAGUGGUAGAGUUCCUGCUUUGCACGCAGGAGGUCCCGGGUUCGACUCCCGGCGUCUCCA